rnacentral:rRNA from 1 species
UCAAGAAACUUCCACAAUGGGCGAAAGCCUGAUGGAGCGACGUCGCGUGAUGGACGAAGUGCUUCGGCACGUAAACAUCUUUUUAUGUGGGAUGAAAUUAUUGACAGUACCACAUGAAUAAGGGGCUCCUAACUCUGUGCCAGCAGGAGCGGUAAUACAGAGGCCGCAAGCGUUAUCCGGAAUCACUGGGCGUAAAGGGUGUCGAGGCGGUUGUAUUAGUCGUUCGUAAAAUCUACGAGCUUAACUUGUAGGCGGCGAACGAAACGGUACGACUUGAGGUUUGGAGAGGUGCGUGGAACUCACGGUGUAGGGGUGAAAUCCGUUGAUAUCGUGGGGAACACCAAAGGCGAAGGCAGCGCACUGGCCAAAAUCUGACGCUCACACACGAAAGCUAGGGUAGCGAAGAGGAUUAGAUACCCUAGUAGUCCCUGAGCGGGCUGGCAAGGCGCAU